AGUGGUGAGAGAAGGGGCUGAUGGAGGAGCGGAGAUAGGACACUGUGUAGGGGCUCUCGGAGCCGAAGGUCGUGGGCCUGAAAGAAGGGGAUCAUCAGGCCCUACUGGCUGAGGACCAAAACCUAUUCCUAGGAGAGAGCCUAGAAUGAAGGAGAAUGGCCCCUGGGAGCCAGAGACCCUCAUCCCAGGAGUUGGUGACAUUCAAGGAUGUGAUCGUGGACUUCACUAAGGAGGAGUGGGGCCUUUUGGACCAUUCUCAGAAAGAGCUGUACAGGGAGGUCAUGCUGGAGAAUGUCCAGAACAUGCUGU